CUCACAGUUUACCUCUGGCAAGCCAUGAACACUCCCUGGGCCCGAGUUUUUCAUGGGAAGAUGGCAUCCCAAGCACUCGAAUUUCAUGGCAUCCCAAGAACU